GUCCUCUGAUGAUCACAGCCAUCGGUCUGACUGUGAUGGUGAUUAUAUUUGGAGCGGUUCUCUGUUUAUGGAAUAAGCAAAGGAAAAACUCACCAAGUUCCAAUGUUGAUGCUGAAAUCCAAGGCACCACACAUUCAACAGAGACUGCAGGUGAUUAUGAGGCGAUCACGGAGACCCAACAGCGGACUGAAGCACACACAGGCAUCACCAUUUAUUCUACUGUCAAUAAAAGUACAGAAGCCAAUCAGAUCCAAGAUCCUCCACUAUACUCCACCCUCUCCGUGUGACUGGAGCCCAGCUGCACCAAAUGAGCUCCAAAACCCAAUGCUGAUAUAUCAGCUACAUAUGCAGCAUUAGGAUACAUGCUAAAGGUUGUGGACAUUUAUUGGGUUAGAAGACCUGGGUGUCUGACCUGAAUCUAUGCAUUUAUGCAUCAAGACACCUGAACCUGACUUGCUUCAGUCAAUGUUGUGGACUGUGUGUUUAGUGUAAGUAGUUAAGGUCUCUUGAAUGUUGUUUUGUCCGAGUGUAAAUAAAUACAUUCUGGUUUGUC
rnacentral:lncRNA from 1 species